UGUUCUGCGUCGGCCUAGGUGGUUAGAGCGUCUGCCUCGUAUGCAGAAGGUCGCGGGUUCAAACCCUGGUCGAAUCAU